UACGUAGGGUGCAAGCGUUGUCCGGAAUUAUUGGGCGUAAAGAGCUCGUAGGCGGUUUGUCGCGUCUGCUGUGAAAUCUGGAGGCUCAACCUCCAGCCUGCAGUGGGUACGGGCAGACUAGAGUGCGGUAGGGGAGAUUGGAACUCCUGGUGUAGCGGUGGAAUGCGCAGAUAUCAGGAAGAACACCGAUGGCGAAGGCAGAUCUCUGGGCCGUAACUGACGCCGAGGAGCGAAAGCAUGGGGAGCGAACAGG
rnacentral:rRNA from 1 species